rnacentral:rRNA from 1 species
UUGACCUCGGAUCAGGCAGGGAUACCCGCUGAACUUAAGCAUAUCAAUAAGCGGAGGAAAAGAAACCAACAGGGAUUGCCUCAGUAACGGCGAGUGAAGCGGCAACAGCUCAAAUUUGAAAUCUGGCUCUUUUAGGGUCCGAGUUGUAAUUUGUAGAGGAUGCUUCGGCGUCGGCUCCGGUCUAAGUUCCUUGGAACAGGACGUCAUAGAGGGUGAGAAUCCCGUAUGUGAUCGGUUGCCCUUGCCAUGUGAAGCUCCUUCGACGAGUCGAGUUGUUUGGGAAUGCAGCUCUAAAUGGGAGGUAAAUUCUUCUAAAG